UGGGGAAUAUUGCACAAUGGACGGAAGUCGGAUGCAGCAACGCCGCGUGCGGGAUGACGGCCUUCGGGUUGUAAACCGCUUUUUCUCAUGACGAAGUUUUUUGACGGUAGUGGGGGAAGAAGCACCGGCUAACUACGUGCCAGCAGCCGCGGUGAUACGUAGGGUGCGAGCGUUGUCCGGAAUUAUUGGGCGUAAAGAGCUUGUAGGCGGUUUGUCGCGUCGAUAGUGCAAACUCAGUGCUUAACGCUGAGCCUGCUGUUGAUACGGGCAGACUAGAGGAAGGUAGGGGAGAAUGGAAUUCCCGGUGGAGCGGUGGAAUGCGCAGAUAUCGGGAGGAACACCGGUGGCGAAGGCGGUUCUCUGGGCCUUUCCUGACGCUGAGAAGCGAAAGCGUGGGGAGCGAACAGG
rnacentral:rRNA from 1 species